rnacentral:ncRNA from 1 species
UAAGAAUCAGUGAUUGGGAGUAGUACUCUAAAUUAAGCUAUUACAGAGAGUCUUAGGUGGUGAGAUAAGACAAGUGGUUUUAGAAGAAUGGACCCAUGAGAUGUCAGGUGAAAAUUGUAGUAGCUGUUGACCGUGUCCUCACGUUAUAGAGGCAGGAUAUGUUAGUAUCCGUAUGAGAUGAGAUAAAGUUUUUAUCUUAAAAAGGGUGGUACCGCGAACACAGACUGUUUGCUCCUUUA